AUACGGAGGGCGCAAGCGUUGUUCGGAAUCACUGGGCAUAAAGAGCGUGUAGGCGGCCUAUCAAGUCGGAUGUGAAAGCCCUCGGCCCAACCGGGGAACUGCAUUCGAAACUGAUAGGCUUGAGGACAGGAGGGGUGAGUGGAACUUCAGGUGGAACGGUGAAAUGUGUAGAUAUCUGAAGGAACACCGGUGGCGAAAGCGGCUCACUGGCCUGUCUCUGACGCUGAGAUGCGAAAGCUAGGGUAGCGAACGGAAUUAGAAACCCUAGUAGUCC
rnacentral:rRNA from 1 species